UACAUGGGGUGCAAACGUUGCUCGGAAUCAUUGGGCGUAAAGCGCGCGUAGGCGGUUACUUAAGUUGGAUGUGAAAGCCCUCGGCUUAACUGAGGAAGUGCAUCCAAAACUGAGUAGCUAGAGUACGAAAGAGGGUCGCGGAAUUCCCGGUGUAGAGGUGAAAUUCGUAGAUAUCGGGAGGAACACCGGUGGCGAAGGCGGCGACCUGGGUCGAGACUGACGCUGAGACGCGAAAGCGUGGGGAGCGAACAGG
rnacentral:rRNA from 1 species